UACGUAGGAGGCAAGCGUUGUCCGGAAUUACUGGGGCGUAAAGAGCUCGUAGGUGGUUUUGUCGCGUUGUUCGUGAAAACUCACAGCUCAACUGUGGGCGUGCGGGGCGAUACGGGGCAGACUUGAGUACUGCAGGGGGAGACUGGAAUUCCUGGUGUAGCGGUGGAAAUGCGCAGAUAUCAGGAGGAACACCGGUGGCGAAGGCGGGGUCUCUGG
rnacentral:rRNA from 1 species